GUGGGGAAUAUUGGACAAUGGGCGAAAGCCUGAUCCAGCCAUGCCGCGUGUGUGAAGAAGGUCUUCGGAUUGUAAAGCACUUUAAGUUGGGAGGAAGGGCAGUAAGUUAAUACCUUGCUGUUUUGACGUUACCAACAGAAUAAGCACCGGCUAACUUCGUGCCAGCAGCCGCGGUAAUACGAAGGGUGCAAGCGUUAAUCGGAAUUACUGGGCGUAAAGCGCGCGUAGGUGGUUCAGCAAGUUGAAGGUGAAAUCCCCGGGCUCAACCUGGGAACUGCCUCCAAAACUACUGAGCUAGAGUACGGUAGAGGGUAGUGGAAUUUCCUGUGUAGCGGUGAAAUGCGUAGAUAUAGGAAGGAACACCAGUGGCGAAGGCGACUACCUGGACUGAUACUGACACUGAGGUGCGAAAGCGUGGGGAGCAAACAGGAUUAGAAACCCUAGUAGUCC
rnacentral:rRNA from 1 species